rnacentral:rRNA from 1 species
CCUACGGGAGGCAGCAGUAGGGAAUCUUCCACAAUGGGCGAAAGCCUGAUGGAGCAACGCCGCGUGAGUGAUGAAGGCCUUCGGGUUGUAAAACUCUGUCAUUCGGGACGAACCGGAGUCUGAGGAAAUGCAGACUCUCUGACGGUACCGGAGGAGGAAGCCCCGGCUAACUACGUGCCAGCAGCCGCGGUAAUACGUAGGGGGCAAGCGUUGUCCGGAUUCACUGGGCGUAAAGCGCGCGCAGGCGGUGAUGUAAGUCUGAGGUGAAAACCCGAAGCUCAACUUCGGGACUGCCUUGGAUACUGCGUCACUUGAGGAUAGGAGAGGCAAGGGGAAUUCCACGUGUAGCGGUGAAAUGCGUAGAGAUGUGGAGGAACACCUGUGGCGAAGGCGCCUUGCUGGCCUAUUUCUGACGCUGAGGCGCGAAAGCGUGGGGAGCAAACAGGAUUAGAUACCCUGGUAGUCCACGCUGUAAACGAUGAGUGCUAGGUGUAGGUGGGCUCAUACCCAUCUGUGCCGAAGCUAACGCAUUAAGCACUCCGCCCUGGGGGAGGUACGGUCGCGAGACGAGAAACGUACGAAGAAGUUAGACGGACGUUGGAGACGNGCGACGGACGACACGAGGGGAGGUUAGG